UACGGGGGGAGCAAGCGUUGUUCGGAUUUACUGGGCGUAAAGGGCGCGUAGGCGGUCAGCACAAGUCAGUUGUGAAAUCUCCGGGGCUUAACUCGGAAAGGUCAACUGAUACUGUGCGACUAGAGUGCAGAAGGGGCAACUGGAAUUCUCGGUGUAGCGGUGAAAUGCGUAGAUAUCGAGAGGAACACCUGAGGUGAAGACGGGUUGCUGGGCUGACACUGACGCUGAGGCGCGAAAGCCAGGGGAGCAAACGGG
rnacentral:rRNA from 1 species